GUGAGGAAUAUUGGGCAAUGGGCGAAAGCCUGACCCAGCCACGCCGCGUGAGUGAUGAAGGCCUUCGGGUUGUAAAGCUCUGUGGGGAGGGAAGAAAAAGCGGGAGAGUAACUGCUCUCGUGUUGACGGUACCUCCUUAGCAAGCACCGGCUAACUCUGUGCCAGCAGCCGCGGUAAUACAGAGGGUGCAAACGUUGCUCGGAAUUACUGGGCGUAAAGCGCGUGUAGGCUGACAUGCAAGUCGGGUGUGAAAUCCCAGGGCUCAACCUUGGAACUGCACUAGAAACUGCACGUCUUGAGUACUGGAGAGGGAAGCGGAAUUCCGAGUGUAGAGGUGAAAUUCGUAGAUAUCCGGAGGAACACCAGUGGCGAAGGCGGCUUCCUGGACAGUAACUGACGCUGAGACGCGAAAGCGUGGGGAGCAAACAGGAUUAGAUACCCGGGUAGUCC
rnacentral:rRNA from 1 species